rnacentral:rRNA from 1 species
CCAGCCCUACGGGGCGCAGCAGCGAGGAAUAUUGGUCAAUGGCCGCAGGGCUGAACCAGCCAAGUCGCGUGAGGGAUGACAGUCCUAUGGAUUGUAAACCUCUUUUGUCAGGGAGCAAAGGGCGCCACGCGUGGCGCUUUGCGAGUACCUGAAGAAAAAGCAUCGGCUAACUCCGUGCCAGCAGCCGCGGUAAUACGGAGGAUGCGAGCGUUAUCCGGAUUUAUUGGGUUUAAAGGGUGCGCAGGCGGAAUGUCAAGUCAGCGGUAAAAUUUCGGGGCUCAACCCCGUCGUGCCGUUGAAACUGG